CCUACGGGAGGCAGCAGUGGGGAAUAUUGCACAAUGGGCGAAAGCCUGAUGCAGCAACGCCGCGUGGGCGAUGAAGGCCUUCGGGUCGUAAAGCUCUGUCCGCAGGGAAGAUGGUGACGGUACUUGAGGAGGAAGCCCCGGCUAACUACGUGCCAGCAGCCGCGGUAAUACGUAGGGGGCUAGCGUUAUCCGGAAUUACUGGGCGUAAAGGGUGCGUAGGUGGUUUCUUAAGUCAGAGGUGAAAGGCGACGGCUCAACCGUAGUAAGCCUUUGAAACUGGGAAACUUGAGUGCAGGAGAGGAGAGUGGAAUUCCUAGUGUAGCGGUGAAAUGCGUAGAUAUUAGGAGGAACACCAGUUGCGAAGGCGGCUUUCUGGACUGUAACUGACACUGAGGCACGAAAGUGUGGGUAUCAAACAGGAUUAGAUACCCGUGUAGUC
rnacentral:rRNA from 1 species